rnacentral:rRNA from 1 species
CAGUAGCCGCGGGAAUACGUAGGUGGCAAGCGUUGUCCGGAAUUAUUGGGCGUAAAGGGCUCGCAGGCGGUUCCUUAAGUCUGAUGUGAGAGCCCCCGGCUCAACCGGGGAGGGUCAUUGGAAACUGGGAAACUUGAGUGCAGAAGAGGAGAGUGGAAUUCCACGUGUAGCGGUGAAAUGCGUAGAGAUGUGGAGGAACACCAGUGGCGAAGGCGACUCUCUGGUCUGUAACUGACGCUGAGGAGCGAAAGCGUGGGGAGCGAACAGGAUUAGAUACCCCCGUAGUCCCUGUCUCUUAUAC